AGAGCGCAAGGGGAAUGCCUUGGCAUCAAGAGCCGAUGAAGGACGUGACAAGCUGCGAUAAGCUGCGGGGAGCUGCACAUAAGCAUUGAUCCGCAGAUUUCCGAAUGGGGAAACCCGUCAGAGCAAUACUCUGACAACGUGCAUUGAAUAAAAUAGGUGUACGUGGGGAACCGCCUGAACUGAAACAUCUAAGUAGGGCGAGGAAGAGAAAUCAAAAGAGAUUCCGCUAGUAGUGGCGAGCGAACGCGGAAGAGGGCAAACCGGAGGAUUUAUUCUCCGGGGUUGAGGACCGACGCACGAUACAAUAGGUUAGCUGAACGGCAUGGGAAGGCCGACCAGAGCGGGUGAUAGUCCCGUAAGUGAAAACCGAUUUGUGUCAGUUGGGAUCCAGAGUACCGCAGGACACGUGAAACCCUGUGGGAAACUGGGGGGACCACCCUCCAACCCUAAAUACUACUUGAUGACCGAUAGAGGAGCAGUACCGUGAGGGAAAGGUGAAAAGGACCCCGGGAGGGGAGUGAAAGAGAACCUGAAACCUUGUGCUUACAAGCACUCAAAGCCCGUUAAUGGGUGAUGAGGUACUUUUUGUAGAACGGUCCGGCGAGUUAUUGUAUGUAGCAAGCUUAAGGUAUUCAGUACCGGAGGCGAAGCGAGAGCGAGUCUGAACAGGGCGAAAUGAAGUUGCAUGCAAUAGACCCGAAACCAGGUGACCUAUCCAUGAGCAGGUUGAAGUGGAGGUAAAACUCCAUGGAGGACCGAACCGACCCCCGUUGCAAUGGUGGCGGAUGACUUGUGGAUAGCGGAGAAAUUCUAAUCGAACUUGGAGAUAGCUGGUUCUCCCCGAAAUAGCUUUAGGGCUAGCGUUGAUUUAGAUUACCGGAGGUAAAGCACUGAAUGGGCUAGGGGCUGAUAAAGUUACUGAACCCUAUCAAACUCAGAAUGCCGGCUAAUUGAUGAUCAGCAGUCAGACUACGUGAGAUAAGUCUCGUGGUCAAAAGGGAAACAGCCCAGACCUACAGCUAAGGUCCCAAAUAUACGCUAAGUGGAAAACGAUGUGGAAUUGCGAAAACAACCAGGAUGUUGGCUUAGAAGCAGCCACUCAUUAAAAGAGUGCGUAAUAGCUCACUGGUCGAGUGACUCUGCGCGGAAAAUGUAACGGGGCUAAGCGUAUAACCGAAGCUUAGGAUGCAGCAAUGCGUGGUAGGGGAGCGUCGAAUACGGGGCGAAGUCGCAGCGGAAGCAGCGGUGGACUGUAUUCGAGUGAGAAUGCCGGAAUGAGUAGCGAGAAUUAUGUGGGAAUCAUAAUGGCCGAAAAUCUAAGGUUUCUUGGGGAAGGUUCGUCCGCCCAAGGUAAGCCGGGAGCUAAGGCGAGGCCGAGAGGCGUAGUCGAUGCACAUACGGUUGAAAUUCCGUAGCCACCGAAACUUAAGCUAGAAGGACACUUGAAACUAUCUGGACCCGGGCGUUGGUUGACCCGGGCGAAAGGGACCGAAAUCAAGUAGGGAAGCCAGAGAACGUCGAGGCGAGAAAAGUUCUAGUGAAUGCUAAGGUGCCCGUACCGCAAACCGACACAGGUAGAUGAGGAGAGGAUCCUAAGGCCAACGGGAGAAGGGUUGUUAAGGAACUCGGCAAAAUUACCCCGUAACUUCGGGAUAAGGGGAGCUCCCUAAGGGGAGCCGCAGAGAAUAGGCCCAAGCGACUGUUUACCAAAAACACAGGUCUAUGCUAAAUCGAAAGAUGACGUAUAUGGGCUGACGCCUGCCCGGUGCUGGAAGGUUAAGAGGAGAGCUUAGCGCAAGCGAAGGUUUGAAUUGAAGCCCCAGUAAACGGCGGCCGUAACUAUAACGGUCCUAAGGUAGCGAAAUUCCUUGUCGGGUAAGUUCCGACCCGCACGAAAGGCGUAAUGAUUUGAGCGCUGUCUCGACAAUGCACCCGGUGAAAUUGAAAUACCAGUGAAGAUGCUGGUUACCUGCGCCAGGACGGAAAGACCCCAUGGAGCUUUACUCCAGCUUGAUACUGGGAUUCGGUAAUGCAUGCACAGGAUAGGUGGGAGGCUAUGAGUAUGGAACUCCGGUUUCAUAUGAGCCGCUGUUGGGAUACCACCCUUGCGUUACUGGGUUUCUAACCAUGGCCCGUGAUCCGGGUCGGGGACAAUGUCAGGUGGGGAGUUUGACUGGGGCGGUCGCCUCCGAAAGGGUAUCGGAGGCGCUCAAAGGUUCCCUCAGAAUGGUUGGAAACCAUUCGAAGAGUGCAAAGGCAGAAGGGAGCUUGACUGCGACACCGACGGGUGGAGCAGGUACGAAAGUAGGACUUAGUGAUCCGGUGGUAUAAAGUGGGAUUGCCAUCGCUCAACGGAUAAAAGCUACCCUGGGGAUAACAGGCUUAUCACUCCCAAGAGUUCACAUCGACGGAGUGGUUUGGCACCUCGAUGUCGGCUCAUCGCAUCCUGGGGCUGUAGUAGGUCCCAAGGGUUGGGCUGUUCGCCCAUUAAAGCGGUACGCGAGCUGGGUUCAGAACGUCGUGAGACAGUUCGGUCCCUAUCCGGCGUGGGCGUAGGAUAUCUGAGAGGAGCUGUCCUUAGUACGAGAGGACCGGGAUGGACGGACCGCUGGUGGACCGGUUGGCUUGCCAAAGCCAUGGCCGGGUAGCCAAGUCCGGAAGGGAUAAACGCUGAAGGCAUCUAAGCGUGAAGCCCCCCUCAAGAUGAGAUAUCCCAUUCGUUAAGAAGUAAGACCCCUUGA
rnacentral:rRNA from 1 species